GUCAUUUUCCCUAAUAUCUUCUUGACUAGCUACAUUUUAGGACCAAAACCACAAUCAAUCCACAAUAAAAGAAUUAUAAUUACAAUCCAUCUAAAAAAAAUUACUAACCAAUUACCAUUUUUACUCUAUAAUUUAAUACUCAAAUUAUCGAUUAGUGGGAGAAAUAAGUCAUAACAUCGAGACAGAUUGUAUUCGCAUUCUAAGGGGGUGUUUGGUAUUUGGAAAAUGGGAUUGUUUUUCCAAAUACCAAACACCUAGAGAGACUUGUGCAAGAUUUAGGGUUAUUUGGGCAAAUCGCGUUUCCUGCAAAAUCGAGUCAAGAGCUCUGUGCUAAACAUAGGGUUACUUGGGCAAAUCAGUUUAAGAGUUGGAGCUAGCUGUGGUUUCUAAAUCGAGUUAAAGGUUUGGCAAAUCAGUUUAAGAGUUGAGCUUAUACACACUGCGGUUUCGAAAUCGAGUUCUAGGGUAUGGAGAUGGUGAACAACACUGAUCAAAUCACUCGGCUGGAGACGGACUUGGCUAAACUCCGCCGGUAUCUUUUAAUUUAGGAUAGGUUUAUCUAUUAACACUUAUAUAUAUAUAUAUAUAUAUAUAUAUAUAUAUAUAUAUAUAUAUAUAUAUAUAUAUAUAUAUAUAUAUAUAUAGGGUUUUGAAAUGACUUUUUGAUUAAGAUGGAAUAAGAAUUAUAGAGUUUUGCUCUGUUUUGAGAGAAUCCCUUAGUCUCGAAUAACAGGUCUUAUCAAAGCUCUUCUCCCAAUGGAGAGCUCCAGGUAUUUGGGGUCAAUGAUCCACAAGGGUAGUGGAGGUAAAUAUUACACAUCCUAUAAAGGCAGGUUGCCUGAGCAAGAAGGACCACAAGAGAGAUGGUAGUAGCAACAAGAGAGAUAGUAGUAACAAAAAUGAGUAUGUUGAGGUGGACUUGUGGCACGACUCUGCUAACUAGGACACCAAAUGUAGCUAUAAGAAAUGCAUUGAGUGUGACACAAAUCACUAAAAAAUUGAGAGAAUGAAGACUUAGGUGGUAUGAACAAAAGGAGGCCCCUAUCUGCAACGGUAAGGAGGGUGAAGCCAAUGGUUGUUCAAUGUAGGAGGAGGAGAGGACAUCUGAGAAGGAAGUGAGAUGAUAGUAUAUGGCCAUAUAUGGAGGAGCUUGCUCUUUCUGAGGACAUGACCUCAAAAAGGAGGGUUAAAUAUUAGGGUUUUUGAGUAACUUCUCCCUUUGUAUAUGUGUCGCGGGGUUUGGUUUUUUGCUGUUAGUAUUUGCUCCUUUUUAUGUGUUACUUCUCUCCCAAACUAUCUUUUCCCUUGUUAGCAUCUUUUGCAGGUUUCCUGGAGCUUCCAUCGAUUCUAUGACUUUUUAAGUGUUUUUGUCUCAAUGCUCAAUUUCACCCACCUCCCCAAUAUCCCAUCCAAAUGGAAUUUGGAUUCCAUGGUUUGACGUCAUUGCUGCAUUUGAAUUGUAGAUAUAAUAAGUAUCAUCAGGUCGAAAUCCAUACGAGGUUUGAAGCAAAAUUAAGUAAAAUUAUGCUGAUAUAAAAGUUCCUCAAAUCCCUAAUUAUCCAAGCAUAAGAUACAUAUUAGCUUCCCUCUUUUCAUUAACAUUAUACGUGUUGUGUUCAAGGGUGGACUGUGCUAUCCCUAAAAAAAAAAUCCUGAGUACAGUAAAAAUUAAUAAAAAAAGGUUUAGUUUAUAAUACUUAGCCCACUUAGCCCAAUGUUUAUACUUCAAAAAGCUAAAAGUCCAAUUAACGUCCAAAUGACUUUGUGAACUGUGAGCUCAUUCAAAAUACCAUGUUGGAAAUAGUGGAGGAUUGGUUUCAUAAAGAAAUGAAAAAACAAAAUCGCUAGAAGCUUGGAACACAACUUCGUUGUUAUCAUUGGACGUGGACGACUGGAAUAGAGAAAGAAAAAUAUCAAUUGUGAAUCACCUGUUGUUGCGGUUUUGACUAUAGCGGAAGAAAUAGAGGUAGAAGGAAGAAAUCGUUGGGAGUUUAGAAAUCACAGACUCCAAAAUCGAGAUCAUGAAACAAAUAAGUUUCCUAUAUGCUUGUUAUGUACCCUAAUUUUAAUAAUAAUAAAUUACCAUGCAUGUAACUUUGAACUUUGGAGCUGUGGUCUUGAUUAGAGGUGUGACUUUGAACUUUUGAGCUGCGAUUUUAAUUUUGAGUAGUGAUUUUGAUUUUAAUUAUAAGCUUGUAGAGUAAUUAAUUUGUGAAGCUCUUCAGGUUUGAAUCGACAAGAUUAAAUUAAAAUCUAAAAUCACUUCUUCAAAUUAAAAUUGUAGUUCAAAAGUUUAAGGUCGCUCUUCUAAUCAAGAGGGUAAAAUCACAACUCAAAAAUUCAAAGUUGAAUGCUUGAUAAUUUGUGAUUAUUAAAAUUAGGGUUCCUAACAGUCAUAUAGGAAACUUACAUGUUUCAUGAUUUCAAUUUUAAAGGCUGCAAUUUUUAACCUUCCAACAAUUUUGUCCUUCUACUUUUUGUUCUUCCACUGUAGACAACACCGCAAAAGUUCAUGCCAUUCACUGUUGAUGUUUUUAUUUCUCUAUUCCAGCCGUCCAGGUCCCGCGGUAGCAGCGAGUUCUGUUCUAAGCUUCUAGCAAUUUUGCUUUUUUCGAUUUUUGAUGAAAUCGGUCCUCCCGCUCUUUCCGAUGUUGCAUUUGAGUGAGCCCACAAAAUCCACAUUUGGACGUUAAUUGGGCUUUUAGCCUUUUGAAGUUUAAACAUUAGGCUAAGUAGUGGCACCUUAAACUAAUCUUUUAAAAAAAAAAAAAUUACAGUAUGCACGAUUUUUUGAGGGGAGCACAGUCUACCCGUGUAUGAUUGUCUUCCGAAUUCUUGAUCACUUGAUCCAUGGUUUGUGCUCUCAAGGAAGAACAUGUAAUGUAAUCCUAGAAAGAUUUGUGAUGAGGUGAAGGCCAAAGGUUUUGUUCCAAGUAGUAAAUCGUAUAACCCGCUUGUGAAUUCUUUAACACUUGAGGGUGAAGUAGAUGAAGCUGUGAGUUACUUGAGGGAGAUGAUUGGAAAUCAAAGGUCGGCUGCAUUACCUAUUUCACUAUGCUUCAUUAGUUUUCCACACAGCAGAGGUGUGGAGAUGCGGUAAAUUUGCUAAAGGAAUUGCAAGACAAAAGCUUGGUGGAUCCAACUACUUACAGGAAGCUUCAACAUCAACUUCAACUCAAUUAUAGAAAUUUAUAUGAUUCAGGAAUUCAUAAAUUUUGUUAUUGGUUAUAUUUUGUGCCAUCUUUUUGUUUAUCAAUGAUAUAUAGUUGCAUUCUCACUA